ensembl:lncRNA
GGGGAGAGCAAAGGCAAGUUUGGCAGAGACAAGAACUGGCUUUGUUAGCACCCAUGUCACCAACACCUGUGCUGCAGCACAGAAGGGGGUGUCCAGGGCUGUUUUCUCCUCCUUUAACUGUAGGCUUUCAUCUUUCCAGCAGAGAAUUUAUUGGCUUGUGCUGCCACCCUGGAUUAUUGAAAACCUCAGUGUUGGUGUUUUUUUUUUUUUUUUUGCUUUUUUUAUCCCAUGGGAAGAACAAUCUUUGGUGAAGGGGCAGAAUCUUAGGAACAAGCACAUCUCCCAGGGCAGUGCGUGCCCUCAGGUGGCUCCUGGAACAGGGCUGGGCGGUGGCACAUGCACAGGGACAUCUUCCUGGUGGCACAGGACCUCUGGGACCUCGUCACCUGGGUUAAUGGGUAAUCCUAUUGGCCUCCAGCUGAGAAAGGGCAGAAGGGGUGUGAGAUGCCCAUAGGGAAGCCCAGCGCUGUAUGACGGACAGUGCCCGGCUCCCACCAUCGCUGCUCUGCAAGGAUAGGGGAAAAAAAAAUGCCCUACAAACUAAAUUCAUGGGAUGCUGGGCGAAAAGCUGUCCAGAACCCCCCCUGCACGUCCUUGGUGGGCAUCAAAGAGCCUGGCCCCAGCACAGCGGGAGAGCUGCAGGGCUCAGCACCUGCCGGGAUGGGGCCCUGGCCGACUAUAAAUGCACAGUGGCAGCAAAAAGCCAACUGGGCCCAUCUGCAAGCACACCCAAUGGCGCUGGGAUGGGAUGGCAAACAAAAGGCAGCCAGGGCAGCCACACUGCUGCCUUGAAGAACCAAGGGUUGACUUCCCUGGGUGCAGACCCCAACCUUCACAUGCUGCAAAACCCCAUGCAUGAUCCUUUGUGACUGCAGGAAAAGGGGGAAUCGUAGCGUGGCACUGAGGGACGUGGUUAGUUGGAUAGUGGGUGCAGUGUGGACGGGUUGAUGGUUGGACUUGGGGAUCCUUGUGGUCUUUUCCAACCUGCGUGAUUCCAUGACUGUGUCAUAGUAGGAAAUAUCAACCUGUGUGCUUUCUUAGUAAGUGAUCAUUAAGACGGUUUAAUAAACGAUCCAAGUGACAGCCCUAUGCUAGAACAGCCUCGAAUCAAACCAUUCUGCACAGGGAAGAAUUUUUGCUCCCUGUAAACCAAAAGUAAUGGGUCAAAGGGAAAUGAAUCCUGAGCAGUUCCCUGCACUUCUGAGCAUUUGGUGUUCUGGACCCCAUUCUCCCUCGUACCCUCAUGCUUAAUCCUCCUCAUUUGAAUGAUUUGCAUCCAAAUCUCUCCAUUUUUGUCCUUUCAUUCUCGAGCACACGAUGUUAGUUCCCGCUAAUACAAGGGCAUCAAUCGCCUUCAUCUUCUCCUAUUUAAUGAUAUUUAUUCAUCAUCGCAUGGGAGAGAAAUUGGCUGCAGCUCAAUUUGGCAAAAUAAAUUGGGACCAGUUCAAGCGUAAUCUCGCUAAACACACAGAUUUUAAUCCCCCCCCCCAAGUGAAGCACACUGCAUCUGCAAUGGAUGUCCUUGGUUCAAGAUCCAGAUGCUGAUUUCAAACUCCAGAAUCUCCCACUGCUUGCAGAGCUCACUUUGUGAGGACCAGGGACUACGUAAAUUCAGAACAGCUCCAGCACAGCUUUGCUCCUGUUGUCCUUAAUUGCUUGAAUACUGAGCAGGUUGAUAUUGUGAUUAUUUGUAGACAUUUAUACCAUCCCAGGCCUUCUUCUUUAUAACUUUAUUUCAUUUUCUGCUGUUUACUCACAACUACCUUUAUCACCGCACGCUGAUAGUCUGUUCUUUAUUGCCCCGGUGUGAUUGCAAGGAGUUUGAGCACAACCCAAUAACACACAUAUAUAAAUAUUUGAACAGGAAAAGAAAGUCUGUCUCAUUCAGGCUAUGGAAGGAGGGAAAAAUGAAAACAAAUAAUACCGCUAGAGGGACCUUCACACUGAACCACGGUGGAGGAGAGGUCACACACAGCCUCCACGAGUGGCACCGAUGGGACCCGCGGUGUCGGCAUGGAGCUUGCAAGCAGCAGCACCGCAUGCAUGCAGGGCUCGUUGUUUGCCGAGGAUCACCCGAAUAAUUCCACUUGAGCACAACAAACGUGUUUUGUUUUUGCAGUUAAAGAGCUGAGUCCUUUUAAUUAGUUGACUCGGGCCUUUCUGCAUGCGGUCCCCACGCACUGUGGCUGGUUCAAAGAGGAGCCUCUCUGUGUGUUUUCGCUUUUCUUCUCUUUUCUUUCUCCCCUUUAACACUGCGUGUGAAUAGUUGAAGACGGGAGCGAAAGACAUUGGACUUAGAAAGUAAAAUCUCCAGGAAGCAAAAAUGGAGGCAAACACAGGAGCUAAUUUAGGCAGGCAUAGCUGGUGUUGUUUGUGGUUGUCCCUGACAGCGCUGCUGACUCUAAAGCACCUGUGUUUGCUCACUAGCUUUCCCCAAUCUGCUAGAAAAUGGCCCUAGCAUGUCACAUGGCAGCGAGAUAGUCCGAGCGCCAUGGGAAUAAAAAAGCCUGAGCUUUUAACGGAGUUAAUCAUUAAUGCGCCUUUUCUUUGUCCCAUUCAGGAGUGCUGACAAGCGCUUUGAUAUUUCAUAUUUGCCAUCAGGUCAGCGGCAGUCAUACCCAGGUACUAAUGAGCGCCCUGGCUCACGCCUCCCUGUUUCAUGGCCCGCCUGAAGAUUUCGUCCCACUUGCCCUCAACCACAGCUACACGCAUAUAUAUCCCUGUCUAUAUGUGUGUGCAUGUCCCUGCUUCCAUGUCUGAAUGCAUCCCUGCAUAUAUGCACAUAGGCAUCCCUGUGUGCACACCCGAGCAACACCCAUGGGUGCAGCGCAUGCUCAGGAGAUCCCAGUUCAGGCACUUUUAUCCCCUCCUGUAGACAAAACCCAGGGCUCCCAGCUCCAGAUCCAAGCCCUGUGCUCCAUAUUGGGCAUCUCAAUGCAAUGCUUUGUAUCCACGAGCAGCUGUCAAUGCGUGCGCGCACUUCGGGGUUGAGCAAAUAAUCCCCAGUGAAUAAUGUAUGUGCGGGGAGGAAUGCAGGCUGCACUACUCGCCCCCAGUCCUGGCUGCCAGCAGCGUGUUUUCUGCAUCGUGCUUCUUCUCCCAGUUUGUUUGCCCUGAUGCACCCAGGUUUCCCUGUUCAUUGCAGGGGAAUUAGACUAGGUGACCUUUGAAGGUUUCUUCCAACUCCAACAAUUCUAUGAUUCUUUGGUUCUAUGGUUCUGAUUCCAUGAUUCUAUGGGUCUGUGAGCCUAUGGUUCUACGAUUCCAUGAUUCUAUGAUUCUACGGUUCUAUGAUUCUAUGAUUCUAGGGGUCUAUGAAUCCAUGAUUCUAGGGGUCUAUGAUUCUGUGGGUCUAUGAUUCUGUGGAUCUAUGAUUCCAUGAUUCCAGGGGUCUAUGUUACUAUGAUCCUAUGAUGCCACGAUUCUAUGAUUCUAUGUGUCCAUGGUUCUAUGACUCUAGAUGCACUGCUUGGGAACCAGUUGUAUGAAGGCAUGAUUACAAAGGAGACUGAGAAUGCUCGUCCUCCCUAAGAGCAGCAAGGCACUGCUAUUCUGUUGUCUGGCUUGGCCAAUAAAUGCAGUUGUUUGUGCCAGCACUGAGUAGAAAAACCUAUCCCUCAGCGUAAAGGCCAGGCAGGUCAGCAGGCCUCCAUAAAGCUGCUGUGCAAAGAUGAUUUGUGCUGGCUUCAACGAGAAUCACAGUCAAACUUCAAGGUGCUUGAACCUUUCCCUUGACUCGGGCAGAGACUGACAGCACAUUUCACUCCUCCUCGCCGGGGUUGGAUGCUGACAGAAUUGCAUCAGUGAGCUCACCGAGGGGACCUCCUGUCUGUGUUCAUGUAGUGUGGGGAGGAAAACAUGGCUGGAGCUGCCGAUGCUGCCAGCACAGCAGGGAGGUGCAGCCAGGCAUCGCAGAAGGUUGCACAAACCUGGGCUUCCUUCAGCAUCCCUCUGGGUUGGAAGUGUGUGCAGCGUGAAAUUAAUGAGCUAUUCAUAGAACCAUCAUAGAGUCAUAGAAUCAUGAAGGUGGAAAAGAUAACCGAGUCCAACCACAGCUCACCCCCACCGUGCCCACUGACCACGUCCUGCAGUGCCACAUCCCCACAGCUUUGGGAUGCCUCCAGGGACGGUGACCCCACCACUCCCUGGGCAGCUGUGCCACUGCCUCACCGCUCUUUCAGGAAAUAAACUGUUCCUAUCAGCCAACCUGAAUUCAGCCCUAAGCUUUUCAGUCUCCUUUUGCUGAGAUAUGGUGACUGAGCCACUUGGCUCCAUACUCCUCUUAGAUUAAAGAGGGAACUGCCAAAAAUGUCACAGAUUUCAGAGGCCGGCUAGUGGUGACUCACCCAGAUAACGCUCUCAAGGACGUAUAGGGAGCCCGGAACCGUAGUAUCAUGCGACAGAGCCACAUCUGGAGAAAUGGCCAAGGUCACCCCACCACUGGCUCGGGCCCCCACAGUGCCAGGUGAGGAAAAUCCUGCUCCGUAAAACUCACACUGGACAGAGAGGCAGAAGGGGAAGCGGGAGAAGGUUCGACCCCGGUUUGCACACAGAGAUAGGCCAGGAUUAGUCCCUUUAGUCUCUUUUAGCUCAUGCUGGCCACAAAGCUCUAAUCUAAGAGGAGAACUCCUGAGGCUGUGAUUGGACCUGGAAGUCAAUUUGCUGCGAGCAUCCUAUGCAGAGUUGAAGCCAGCCAAAAAGGAAGCCUUCCUGGAAAAAUAACAAAGCGCUGAGUCACACGGGGGGAUUAGGACAGCUCCGAGAAGAUGCAAUACCCUGCAGGGACCGGCAGGGCUCUGCAGCUCCGAGUGGGGCCGGGAGCCAGAGAAACUCUGGGUUAACGUGGGGCCCUGACCCUACCCCCCACCUUAACCCUCAACUUCACAUGAGCUCAGCACGGGCAUCCUGCACGCAUGGCAUGGAGGCAGCCAGCUGUCUGAAAACCUCAAGAGAAGGUUUCUUUCUUCCCCAGAGUGGAUGUUGGUGAUAUGAUUAUUAUUACUAUUAUUACUAUUAGGUAUUGAACCCUCUGCCCAGAAAAGCCAGGCACUACUGCAGCCUGAACCCAACGCAGCGCCGUGCUGGCACCAUAUCCCUGCCAGUGGCGUUAUGUUCCCUUUGACAAAAAUGAACCAGGAGAAUUCCCUUGCCAAAUAUUGUUCUGGUAACCGUAACUCUGAGUCUUGCCAGGUUACAGAGCUCCUGUUAUGGAGCUCCUCCAGGCUGCAGCCAGUGCUAUUGUUAUUGUGAAGCACCUCUGCGCUGUUCAGGCUUUGAAGUAGGUGAGGCGGUCUCCGCUCUUUCCUCUUUUUUUUUUUUUUUCUUUUUUCCCUUUUUCCCCCAAGCCUCAGCUCUAUGAUUUAGGCUGGAAGCAGAUUGUUCAAGAGCGCCAGGGGAAAUCUGGCAGGCGCUGACCGACCCCGCAAGAAUUUAUUACCAACCCUUUUAGCUGCCGCCUCUGCCUUUGUUACCCAGCCCUUGGCAGGGGGGGUCCAUCCAUCUGCAGCGUCCAACACUGCAUUCACUGCUCACCAGGUGAGCUCCCGGGACAACCAUCCCUCACCAUCCCACUCCAGGACAUCCUCUGGGACUGUUAUCCAAAUGAACCGGCGAGGAUUUAAAAUGCCACCUGAGUUAAAAGGACCUGAUUAAAACUGUACCCUCAUCACACUUCUUAAACAGCCGGUUGCAUUGCCGUAUUUACAUUAGUGUCAACUUUAAUUUAAAUCCCGCAUAACGAUAUUUGCUCCCCUAAAUUCAUUCGCCGGGAGCGCGGCACAAAUUACUCGGAGCUGACUGCACUUUCCCUUUGUCUGCGUCGCAGCGUUUUGGAAAUGAAGGCUGAGCACCUCGUUAGGGUCUCAUUAAGCAGCCCAAUGCCGGGCGCUGGGCUGGAGAUUGGGGCUGGAUUGGGGCGUUGCGGUGUCGGCCAGGUGCUGGCAUGGCAGGGACACGUGGGGUCAGCUCUGCAGACAAUGGGAGCCCUCCUGCUCUCCUGACCACCCAGUAGGGGAGAAGGGGGAAAAGAGACAAAAAAAAAAGCCCACAAUGAAAUACCCGGAGGUUUCUCAGGUUUUUGUGACAGCAGUGUUUAAACUCGGUGCUUCCUGCAGGUGUGCUCUUUGACGACGAGUGCUCCGUGUGAUCUCAGCCAGGCAGGCGUUUUCUUUAGUCCUCGGCGCUUUGCCUUUUCACCUCGUCAAACCCUUUCAAGCUAAACAAACCUUGUUCCAGCCUUGCUCACCGAAUCCCAGCCUGGGGCGGCACGAAGCGGUGUAGCAUCACGGUUGGAGCUGGCGUUUGGGUCGGAGCAGCAUAGCACCACCUGGGCAAUGGGCAACGGAGGCAGGAAGGGGGCAAGGGGAGGGCAGGGGUCAGCAGCCUGGCUGUGGGGAGGUGGCACUGAAUGCGGGGGUUGCUGGAUGUGCCGCUGCCCGGUGUCACCUUGUCCUCGAGCUCCGCAGGGACGCGGCUCCGCGCGGCACCAGAUUUGCGUGGCUAAGUCGACGGCCGUGCAGCUGUGCUCUUAUCUGGUCAGAGGAAGAGGAUGAACAACAAAAGGGCCUAAGAAGCCCGGUUGAUGCAUGGGAAAGCCAUUGGUUGAGCAUUGUGGCUGCCCUUCUGCUGAGCAAAUAGUUCAAACUGUUCAUUCCCAUCUUCUAUUCUCUCUCCGGUACAUUGUUUGUGUCCUUGCAUUUCAUUCUGCAAGGAAGAUUGCUCUCUGGGCCUAUAAGCAAACAGUCCAGAAAAGAGCCAACUAUCCUCUCCUUUUCCCUGGAGAACUAGCAUUUUUAUUUCAGCUCCAAGCUGUCAAAGAGCUGGAGAGUUUAUGUCAGUAUCCUGAAUUAAUUGCUUUAAGCUGGAGCAGCCUAGAUGAGCCACCAAAUGUCCAGAAGAUGUUUAUUAAUAACGUUUCCUGCCGGUUUUGUUCCGAGCUGCGCUCUCCCGUCCAGUGCCCUCCAUUCACUGCCUUGGGGUGGCGAAGCCAAAGCUGCUUACGGGGAAUUAGAGCCCGCUGCCAGGCUUUGUCACCAUCCCCGUGCCCAGCGCCGGGAGCUCUGGUUGGGGUGGUUUGAUGCUGGGAGCAGGAGGAGGAGGGAGACGGAUUGCUGCUGGUGGGGCCCUUGUUUAAACACAAAUAUCUUCGGUAAUUAGCAAAAGUGGCGAGGAAAUUACCGAUGGAAAGAGAGAAACCACACGGAAGGUAAAUGGUUCUGUGUUUAAACAUGAUAUAUUUUAAAGUGUUCCCCAGCGUGAAAGUCGCUGUUUAAGGGAAUGAAGUAAUAAACCAAUUUAUAUACCAAUAGAAAGUGGAGAUCCUGAGUGCCUUUGUGUAAAUUUUCCACUUGACUUUUCAUUAUCUACCUGAACAAAAUCAAUCUAUAUGUAUGGGAUCAACGCGCAAUAUGAGAGAUAAAAGACGAAAUAAAUGCGCUUUGCAUAUCCCGCGGAUAAAAGCCACGGGGCUCCAGCCUCCCUGCCAGGCAGAUGCAUUUUAUAAAAUAAAUCAUUUUGCCGAGGAAAAAGAGAGCAGAGAGGAGCAUUACUUCUUAAGUGUUUACUCCCUAGCUUGAAAUAUCGAUCCUGUCAAACGAACGGUGGUUAAUAAGUAACUCGGGGGAAAUGUGCUGCUCCGUGCAGCACAGCGCUGCCGCGGCAGGGGAUGCGCUGGGGCCGCUACCUGGGGCAGCACAAAAAGCAGAGCUAGAGGCAGAAAGAAGCGAGCAGGAUGCCUCUCCCUCGGCCCCCUGCCUGGAGAUGGGCUUUGGGGUAGAGCAGCCCUCCCAGCCUCGGGGAUCCCUCUCUUUUCUCCCUUCAGGGCUAGGUGAACAGGCAGGAUCCCCUUGUGAGUUUUUUCCCUCGCUAGCAGGAUACAGGAAAGCUUAAGAGGCACUUUAGAAGCCGCAGCCCCACCUGGGCACGGCGGAUUCCUAUUCCCCAUGAAACUCCAGCCCUGGUGUAUUCCUGCCCCCAAGGACCCAGAUCCGGCCCCAUGCAGGGCAGCGCCUGCCUCCUCCAGCAUCGCUACUGCCGUACCCACACCAUUCGGCCACGAGGGAUCUGGUGGGGUCAGCGGGGUAUGGGUAUGGCAUUGGUGUUUGCCAAUUGCCAGAGCCACCUCUGUGCUGGCACUGCUGUGACUGGCACAAAUACUUCUAUUUUCCGAGAGAAACAGUAAGGCCACAGAGCUCCAUCCACUGCAAUAUAAAGAAAAUAAAUCAACUUGAAAAAAUUGAUUUGAGGAAGCUCCCGCUUUGUUUCCUGUUUCUAUUUUUUCUUCUUUUCUCCUAAAAUUCCAGGCAGGAGGGAAGAAGUGGGGCAGAGAGUGGGCACAAAGAGAAACACAGGGAUGAGCUGAUUGCUUCCCAAAGCCAAGAGUUAGCAGGGAUGCUCCUGAGGAACGUGCCUGCUGUUGGCUCAACAUCUGCAGCCAGUUUAUUAGUUUGCUAAUGACGCCUCAGAUUGGACCCGGAGGGAACAGAAAGUCCUGGCAACCUCUUGCAGUAUCAGCCUCACCUUCUGCCCCGUCCCACUGCCACCCUGAAGCAGAGCUGCUGCUUUCAGCCCCCCAUCUCCAGUCUGUAAUUUUGCAGUAGUGCAGAGCAACAGCAAAGGGAGGGAUGUGCUGGAGGACCAGAGCGCCGUAGCAUGGCUCAGUGCUGGAUGGCAAUUGCUGGGGUCCUGCAGGGUGGGAUGAGUGUUCACCCUUAGGAUGGCACGGAUGUGCAUCCCUCAGAAAGCUCCACAAAUUCAUUCAUUCUUCAGCUUUCCCGGAGUGUUUUAACGAUUUAUUUUUUCCUAAAAGGAUCCAUCCCGGAGAAGCAUCUUCUCAAAUAUCCUCGAGGCAGAGAUAGCACUUCUGUCCGCUCCCGAGUCUACUGAAGCGUAACGCAGGUAUUGCACACAAGUACAGACACAAAGAGGCAAUCAGAGAUGGGGAUCUGGGGUUUCAUAGGGGAUGCACACACGGCAGCAGCACGCUCAGCACAGCUCAGAGGUUGGCCCCAUCCGUCCUUGACACUGAUCCCCCGUGCUGUUAUUAAAAUAAAGAAAGGGCAGUGAAGGUGAGUGCAAGUGCACACACCACCGGCUGCUUCCCCACCGUGCAGAGGGCUGCAAAUCAUCUCAGGGUCCCCAAUCUCCUUCAGCGUUGCUGCUGUCGGUGGUGGGGUGGGAAGGGAAAUCCCUGCUGGGCACUAGGGUGGGAAGGGGAAUCACUGCUGGGCACUGCAGUAGCUAUCUGCUUUCUGCUUUCCAGCCAGGCAAGGGAGAGCCUCGAUCUCUGUAUUGCUUGUGCAACGGUGUGAGUUUAAAACCUGUCGGAACAUGGUCCUGCCCCAGCUGUUCUUGCACUGACCGUGCAGGCAGAUGGCUGGCAGCAGCAAAGCUCCGGCUGCAGAAAUCCGUAAGGUAAAUCGCACGUCGAGGGCUUUCUUGCCGCCUGCUUUGCAAAGAGCAGGGCCCGUUCGGGUGAAAGCAGGAAGGCGUUCUGAACUCCCGGCCCUGGCAAGUGGGAGCUGAGCCGGUGUCCCCCCCCCCGCCCUCGCCCAUCCCCGGGGCUACCUGCAAGUUGCCGGCCUCGCCCGGCUGCUCCGCCCGGUCCCUGCCCUGUCCGGCACGGGGGGAGGUCAGAGCUGGGGGUGGAAGGGUAAAAAAUGGGGAGGGAAAAAGGGGAGGGAGAAGAGGGGAAAGGGGAAAAAGUUGGGGGGAAGGGGGGAAAAUAAAGAAUAAAUAGGAAAGGAGUGAGAAAUGGAAGGAAUGGAGGAAAAAAAGGGGGGGAGGGGAAAGGAAAGAGGGAAUGAAAGGAAAAGCGUGGCGAAGAAAUGGAGGAAAAAAGGAGAGAGAAAGAAAGGAAAAGAAAAUGAAAGAAAGGAAAAUAAAGGGGAGAAAAGAGGGGAGGGGCAAGGAAGAAAUAAAAGAACAACAGAUGAUAAGAGAGACAGAAAAGGAAAGCAUGAAAAAGAAAAGGGAAAAGCAUUCCCAGUGACAGAAGCGCUGCCCGCCCCGUUCGCUGCCCCGCGCUGCCCCAGGCGGGCAGCAGCCCCCGGCCCACACUCCUGCCUCGGGCACGCGUGGGAGAGCGGCCAGCCGGGCUGGGGCGGCGCGGGACCUCCAGGACCCCCCCCCACCGUCUCAUAUAUAUAACUUUGUUGUUGUUGUUGUUAAUUCAAUUUCACACCCAGCUGCACCUGCAAACGUAACACCCACCCCUCGUUCCAAUCCUCCAUCCAUCCUUCCGUCCUUCCGUCCACCUCUCCAUCCAUCCACCACCCCGGAGCCGCACCCCACGCUGGCCGCGGUUCUUCUCCAUCCUCCCGUCCCGAUUCGCAUCCCUGCGCCUGCCGCCCUUUCACUUAGGGCCGGGUUCUGUGCCUCUCUGGGCGUCGCGUCCCCCCUUGGUUCUCCAUAUCCCCCACCCUGGGGGGAAACCACCCCAUUCUCCUGGCCCUCCCCGUCUCAGAACCGUCGCAGUUUCCACGCGUUGCGAUUUAAUAGGAAAUAAACAUCAAACCCAUCGGCCCGGCCGGGGCUGCGGGAAAACUCGGGGCACUCUAUUUUAUUAUUUUUUCUUGCUUAUUUUUAUCCUUCCCCCAUUAAAAAGAAAUAGGGAAGAGAUUCCUCUCGCCCAGAGCCACCCCCCCUCCCCCGGGUUCCGUCAGAGAGGGGAAAUAUUUCGCUGAGAGACGACCGCAGCGAGAGAGCAAAAAAAUAAACCCCAAUCCGCUCCCGCCGACACCCAAAGCCCCGUUUUUAGCUGUCCCGUAAAUAAGGAGCCGGCAGACUCUGCAUCAUCCUUCGCUAUUUACUCUUUUGAAGGUUAGGCAGGGCAGAGGUAACAAACUUUUGAACGAUUUUCCUCCUCCCCUUUUCCAUCCUCUUCCCUACCUGGUUUUAUGUGGUUUCUGGAUUAAUCUAGUGUGGAGCAGAAGCGGACUUUCCCCGGCCGAAAUAUAGGAUUAGGACUAUUUCUAGAAGAAAGAGGAUAGUGUCAACUGCCUUUAGCCUGCAAUAGUCUAAAGCAGAAUUACAGCUUGUAAAAUAGGUCUCCAUCAGUUUCCCAGGAGACGAGUUAAGCCCUACUUGGGUGUUCCAGCUCUUUUUAGAACCAGCAAUAAUUAGACUCAUCUCACCCUGAGCUGUCCGGUUUUUUUAGGAUCCCCACCGACCGCUUUUGCAUACAAUCCUGCCGGGGCCGCCUGCCCGCACCGCUCGGCAGCAGAAACCUUCGGGGCGGUUCGGGGCAGGAGACGUCCCUUUGGCAAGCGGGGCAGCGCGGCUCUCCUGCCCGACGUGCCAUUCCCUUGCGCUUUGAUGUCCGCUGCCUUUGAGCCAUCUCUGCAUGUCAUUAGGGGCCCGGACAAUUAAAGAAGUGCCUUCGCACCCCCCCUCUCCCAACCCCUCCCCGCAGCGGAGGGGAAGUCGGAAAAAAAUAAAUACAUCGGCCAACACGGCGAGCCGAUGCGGGGCUGAGUUCGCCUUCGGAUCGCGGCCGUGAGAUGGGAAAGUCGCCCGCAGGGGAGCGGGAGGAGCCGCGACGGUGACAGCGACAGUGACUGCCGGUCCGGCCGCUCGCCGCCGGCUUUGGUGGCGGAUUGGGUGGGGAGUCCUUCUGCCGCCCGGGUACGCGGCUCCGUCCUCGGGGCGGUCGGAUGCCGCUCGGUCUCCCCGAAAGUCAAAUAAUAAAAAAAAAAAAAAUAGAAAUUUAAAAUAAUAAUAAUAAUUAAAAAAUCGAUCUGUGGGAAUGAAGGGCGGAAGCGGAGCUUAACGCGCUGCUCUUUCUGAGGGGCUGGUAGAGGGGAAAUGCGGCUGGGAGGGUUCGGAGGAGGCUGGGGAUGCUCGGGUGUAGAAAUAGGCUAUCUAUCUAUCUACCUGUAUCUAUUAAUAGCGAUACCAUACAAAUAACGAGUAGAGGAAGGUCGCGGAGUGCAGCCCCGCUCCCGCCGGGCUGGGGCUGCCCGUGGCCGGGAGGUGAGCCUCUCCCGGGCCGUUCCCACGCGUGUCCCCUCCCCGCACGGCGACACGAGUUCGGUGGCAGGUCAUUGGCGAGUGCUGUCCCCGAGAGCCCGUCACUGCCGGGCACCCGCUCGGUCGGAAGCAGGGACCUGGCACGGGGACGGGGACACGCGUGCACAACCCGCCCCCGGUCUCCGUGGGCCUCGAGAGACGUCUCCUUCCCGAGUCCCCGCGUGUGCGAUGCCACUCGUGUUCGUGCCCAGCGGCCGAGCCCCGGCCCCGUUAAACGCUCGUUUUCCUCUUUUUCACCGUGUUGCCAACGAGAAAAUGAGGAUGGGGUCUUUUUCCCUCCUGUUCUUGCCCACGCGGGGACGGGGCACUGCCUGUGGUACCGGCAGCGGCGCUUCCCCGUGACACGGACACGGGAGAAAUGCCGCUCGGAGAGAGGAACGAAAAAGCGCCGCGGAGCCGGGGAGGACAACGGAAUAACGCGCAAAAAGAGGGGGGAAACAAAAAAAGGAAAGGAAAACAAACAAACAAACAACAACAAAAUAAAGGAAAGAAAAGCAGGAAGAAGCGCGCGGCUCCUGGGGCAGCGGCGAGGCGCGGCGAGUCGGCUACCGCGCAGCCCCGUUCCUUCUCCGACGGCCCCACAACGACUCGAGCCCUCGGCAACGAGCUGUGGGGCUGCGGCCAGCCGCACCCCGCGCCCCGACCCG